UGGUCCUAGCCUUAAGAUCAAUUAUUACUUAAUAUAUACAUGCAAGUCUCCACACCCCUGUGAGAACGCCCUUCAAUCCCUAAUAGGGUCAAGGAGCCGGUAUCAGGCACAACAAUUAGCCCAAAACACCUAGCUAUGCCACACCCACAAGGGUACUCAGCAGUAAUUAAUAUUGAAUAUAAGCGCCAGCUUGAUUCAGUUAAAGUAAAGAGGGCCGGCAAAUCUGGUGCCAGCCGCCGCGGCUAUACCACGUGGCCCAAAUUGAUAUUUCACGGCGUAAAGCGUGAUUAAAGCUAAUUUUCAUUGUAGUUAAACUAUUAAUAAGCUGUGAUACGCUUUUAUUUAGGAAACCCAAAAACGAAAGUUACUACAUACAAAACAACUUGAAUUCACAACAGUUAGGACACAAACUAGGAUCAGAUACCCUACUAUGCCUAACUAUAAACCUUUAACUUACACUCAAAUCGCCAGGGAACUACGAGCAAAGCUUAAAACCCAAAGGACUUGACGGUACCCCAUAUCCCCCUAGAGGAGCCUGUCCUAUAAUCGAUAAUCCCCGUUUAACCUCACCAUUUUUAGUUAAUCAGUCUGUAUACCUCCGUCGCCAGCUUACCAUAUGAAUGUUACAAAGUAAGUUUAAGGAUCAAAGCCAUCAACACGUCAGGUCAAGGUGCAACUAAUAAAAUGGGAAGAGAUGGGCUACACUCUCUAUUUUAGAACAAACAAAAAACUAACUGAAAACUAGUUAGAAGGUGGAUUUAGAAGUAAAAGGAGACUAGAGAGCUCUUUUUAACACGGCCCUGGGGUGUGUACACACCGCCCGUCACCCUCUUUAUAGCUUUCAUACAAUAGUAUUUAACAAUAAACUGCGUAAUAGAAGAGGCAAGUCGUAACAUGGUAAGUAUACCGGAAGGUGUGCUUGGAAA
rnacentral:ncRNA from 1 species